GGCGGAUGUAGCCAAGUGGUCAAGGC
rnacentral:tRNA from 1 species